rnacentral:rRNA from 1 species
CCUACGGGCGGCAGCAGUGGGGAAUAUUGGGCAAUGGGCGCAAGCCUGACCCAGCAACGCCGCGUGAAGGAAGAAGGCUUUCGGGUUGUAAACUUCUUUUCUCAGGGACGCAGCAAGUGACGGUACCUGAGGAAUAAGCUACGGCUAACUACGUGCCAGCAGCCGCGGUAAUAAGUAGGUGGCAAGCGGUAUCCGGAUUUACUGGGUGUAAAGGGCGUGUAGGCGGGAAUGCAAGUUCGAUGGGAAAACCAUGGGCUCAAACUGUGGCCUGCAUUUGAACCUGGUUUUCUUGAGUACGGGAGAGGCAGACGGAAUUCCUAGUGUAGCGGUGAAAUGCGUAGAUAUUAGGCAGAACACCAGUGGCGAAGGCAGUCUGCUGGACAGCAACUGACGCUGAGGCGCGAAAGCGUGGGGAGCAAACAGGAUUAGAUACCCUUGUAGUC